rnacentral:rRNA from 1 species
GACGAACGCUGGCGGCGUGCCUAAUACAUGCAAGUGGGACGCAAGGGAACACACUGUGCUUGCACACCGUGUUUUCUUGAGUCGCGAACGGGUGAGUAACGCGUAGGUAACCUGCCUAUUAGCGGGGGAUAACUAUUGGAAACGAUAGCUAAUACCGCAUAGUAUUAAUUAUUGCAUGAUAAUUGAUUGAAAGAUGCAAGCGCAUCACUAGUAGAUGGACCUGCGUUGUAUUAGCUAGUUGGUAAGGUAAGAGCUUACCAAGGCGACGAUACAUAGCCGACCUGAGAGGGUGAUCGGCCACACUGGGACUGAGACACGGCCCAGACUCCUACGGGAGGCAGCAGUAGGGAAUCUUCGGCAAUGGACGAAAGUCUGACCGAGCAACGCCGCGUGAGUGAAGAAGGUUUUCGGAUCGUAAAGCUCUGUUGUAAGUCAAGAACGUGUGUGAGAGUGGAAAGUUCACACAGUG